CCUACGGGUGGCUGCAGUGGGGAAUAUUGGACAAUGGGGGGAACCCUGAUCCAGCCAUGCCGCGUGUGUGAAGAAGGCCCUCGGGUUGUAAAGCACUUUCAGUGAGGAAGAACGCCUGGUGGUUAAUACCCAUCAGGAAAGACAUCACUCACAGAAGAAGCACCGGCUAACUCCGUGCCAGCAGCCGCGGUAAUACGGAGGGUGCGAGCGUUAAUCGGAAUUACUGGGCGUAAAGCGCGCGUAGGUGGCUUGAUAAGCCGGUUGUGAAAGCCCCGGGCUCAACCUGGGAACGGCAUCCGGAACUGUCAAGCUAGAGUGCAGGAGAGGAAGGUAGAAUUCCCGGUGUAGCGGUGAAAUGCGUAGAGAUCGGGAGGAAUACCAGUGGCGAAGGCGGCCUUCUGGACCGACACUGACACUGAGGUGCGAAAGCGUGGGUAGCAAACAGGAUUAGAUACCCUUGUAGUC
rnacentral:rRNA from 1 species